rnacentral:rRNA from 1 species
UUCUAACACACCAUUCUGAAUGUGCCUAAUCUCAUCUGAUCUCAGAUGUUACGAAGGUCAAGGCCUAGUUAGUAGUUAGAUGGGUGAUCAUCAGGAAUCAGAGGUGAGUCUAGGAA